CACUACUCAGUUGGUAGAGUACAAAGCUCUUAACCUUAUGGACGUGGGUUCGAGCCCAUAGUGA
rfam:Triticum urartu cultivar G1812 contig535692, whole genome shotgun sequence.